rnacentral:lncRNA from 1 species
CAGCACGAGGAAUGCAUCGGGGACAGCCGCCAUGGAGGAAGGCCAGACGAAUUCGGCUUAACACGGCUCAAUAUUUGAUUUACACCGUAUCUUCACUUCAGCACGAUCCAUCCAACCUCCGCCAGCUGUCACUUUUCCUCCACGCUCCACAGACCGUCUUGGGGGCCUUGAGGGGGCUCUCUGACGGUGCCUUGUGUACAUUGCGCCCUAUUGAAGACUCUUUAUGGCUCUCUAGGCCGCUGUGAGACUCUAGACAGUUCAUCUGCUUGGCUGCCUCGCUGUCGUGGUCUCCGUUGGCGUCUCAUGGCGUCAGGAUGUGUGUGCCCAGGGGAUCCAACACGCCACACGGACAUUCUCAUCAAUGAAAGGCCGUGGAUGUCUGUUCAGUUUUCUUUGCUCAAACCAGACCUUGUCAUCAAUGUGCUGUUAGAAUUACAUCAGGCAAAUUGUUACUUAAUGUAGGUUAAUAUUACAAAUGUAAUGUGAACAAGUUUAAUGUUUAAUAUUUUGUUAUCUGCCACACGUUUUUGUAGAGAGAACCUGUUAGUAAGUCGUACGUGUGUGGCAGUUAUGUGAGGCUGUGUCAGGUAAUAAAACAAUUAUCGGGACAAUAAUCCUAUUGCAGCAAUAAAUCACUGCGGUUCUGUACAAAACAUAAAUACAGUUUUGAACUUGACCGACGAAAAAUCGUAAAUGAAAUAAUAUUUCAACUUUUGUUUCUCCACGUAUAAAAAAGUUACCGAGCAACAUCAGGAAAACAAAAUGUUACUUUCAAAACAUGGAUUGAUAAAAAUACUUGGGAAAUAUCCAGUAAAAUAGAAAAUCCGAAACAAAUGUAAGCAGACUCUAGUGUCGCCAAAAAAAAAAAAAAAGAACUAUUAGUCGCGUUUAAUGAUAGAUAGGCAUCGAUAGGCCGUGUGGUGCAGAAAAUCAUCUUUAGUAAAGACAAUAUGUAGAAGCUUCAGCCUCUCUCGUACGUAAACGCUUGACUUUUAUCUGAUUAAGAGAAACAUAAACUAACUAAACAAUUGAAUGAUAAAGAAAGUAAGAGACUAUAAGCAAUAAAAGACAAUAUAUCUUUCUUAAUUAUUGGAAGAGUUCAAAUUGUUAAGCUUAUAUAAAAAAGUAUUAUGAAAACCUCAAGAAAAAAAAUACACCGUGUAAGCUUUAGAAACCUAUUUUGGCUACAUUGUUAUUAGAUAGUGACUAGUACAUUGGUGCAUUAGAAAGCUACACUUACACUAGAAACCUGUAAUGAUUGGCACUACACGUACUGAGACCAGAACAUCCUAAUCCUAUACAUCCUAUGAGUGCACAAUCUAAUAUUCUUUGUACACUAACAGAUCAGAAUCUAAUGUGUAUUGUUGGAGGCUGGAAUACACUAACAUCCUACACAUCCUGAAGCCAGAAUAUCCUAACCCACAAUGCACAAUAUAAUACCAUACAUAUCUUAAGAGGGAGUGCAUUACAACAGCCUGUGAACACCUGUAAACCAGAAUAUCUAAAUAACUUUUAUAUCCAAGAAUAAGAUAAAUUAAUGCAUCUUAGCAGGGACAGAAUACCUGAGUGCCUUACACAUCCUAUUACAAACUUAACAUUUUGCAUAUCAUUGGUGCUUGAACACCCGUGGUAUCUUAGAUGGCUAUGUUAGCACUACUCUCUCCUUUCCUUAUGCUUAAAUACACCGAUCUACGCUGUAUUAAGACGAGCAGUGGUGUCGAAUCUUGAACAUUCGUGGUAUCUUAAAUGGCUAUAUUAACACUACACUCUACUUUCAUCUUGCUUAAAUUCAACACUGUAUUAAGACGACCAAUGGUGACUAAUCUUGGUCUCUGUGGUGAAGCAAAUGUGUGUGCAGGGAAUAUAACAAUAAAAGAGAGUGAAAAAAACAAAAACAAAUGCAAAUGUAAAUAAGUGAGACAAAGAAAAAGGUGCAAUGUAGAAAAGAGAAAAAUAAGAGAACCAGAAA